rnacentral:rRNA from 1 species
GCGCGCGUAGGCGGCUAAUUAAGUCAAAUGUGAAAUCCCCGAGCUUAACUUGGGAAUUGCAUUCGAUACUGGUUAGCUAGAGUGUGGGAGAGGAUGGUAGAAUUCCAGGUGUAGCGGUGAAAUGCGUAGAGAUCUGGAGGAAUACCGAUGGCGAAGGCAGCCAUCUGGCCUAACACUGACGCUGAGGUGCGAAAGCAUGGGGAGCAAACAGGAUUAGAUACCCUGGUAGUCCAUGCCGUAAACGAUGUCUACUAGCCGUUGGGGCCUUUGAGGCUUUAGUGGCGCAGCUAACGCGAUAAGUAGACCGCCUGGGGAGUACGGUCGCAAGACUAAAACUCAAAUGAAUUGACGGGGGCCCGCACAAGCGGUGGAGCAUGUGGUUUAAUUCGAUGCAACGCGAAGAACCUUACCUGGCCUUGACAUAGUAAGAACUUUCCAGAGAUGGAUUGGUGCCUUCGGGAACUUACAUACAGGUGCUGCAUGGCUGUCGUCAGCUCGUGUCGUGAGAUGUUGGGUUAAGUCCCGCAACGAGCGCAACCCUUUUCCUUAUUUGCCAGCGAGUAAUGUCGGGAACUUUAAGGAUACUGCCAGUGACAAACUGGAGGAAGGCGGAGACGACGUCAAGUCAUCAUGGCCCUUACGGCCAGGGCUACACACGUGCUACAAUGGUCGGUACAAAGGGUUGCUACCUAGCGAUAGGAUGCU